rnacentral:rRNA from 1 species
GACGAACGCUGGCGGCGUGCUUAACACAUGCAAGUCGAACGGAAAGGCCCUGCUUUUGUGGGGUGCUCGAGUGGCGAACGGGUGAGUAACACGUGAGUAACCUGCCCUUGACUUUGGGAUAACUUCAGGAAACUGGGGCUAAUACCGGAUAGGAGCUCCUGCUGCAUGGUGGGGGUUGGAAAGUUUCGGCGGUUGGGGUUGGACUCGCGGCUUAUCAGCUUGUUGGUGGGGUAGUGGCUUACCAAGGCUUCGACGGGUAGCCGGCCUGAGAGGGUGACCGGCCACAUUGGGACUGAGAGACGGCCCAGACUCCAACGGGAGGCAGCGGUGGGGAGUAUUGCGCAAUGGGCGGAAGCCUGAUGCAACGGCGCCGCGUGCGGGAUGACGGCCUUCGGGUUGUAAACCGCUUUCGCCUGUGACGAGGCGUGAGUGACGGUAAUGGGUAAAGAAGCACCGGCUAACUACGUG